rnacentral:misc_RNA from 1 species
AAAUGAUUUUUAAGAAUGUUAUUUUUUAUAUUUUGAUAAAAUUAUCAAAAUAUAAUUUUUUUUACGAAAAUAUCACACAAAUAAAUAGUCAUAAAUCAUUAUCACAUAAUUGUGUGAUGGCUAUUGAUUUCGCUCUCAAGAGUAGAACUCAAAUUUUAUUUUUGAAUAAGACAUUAUUAUAAGAGACAGCACAAAUCUUAAAGAUUAAAUGGAUAAAAAUAACAAUUUUCAUUAAAAUUAAAAUUAAAAUUGCUACAAAAAUUUAAAUGUUUUAAUCAUUUGGCUUAUUUUAUACUCUUUCUGUUU